UCAGGAAUAUUGGGCAAUGGGCGAAAGCCUGACCCAGCAACGCCGCGUGAAGGAUGAAGGCCUUCGGGUCGUAAACUUCUGUCGAGAGGGAAGAAUGUGUGCGGGUGAACAAUCCGCGCAUUUGACGGUACCUCAAAAGGAAGCACCGGCUAACUCCGUGCCAGCAGCCGCGGUAAUACGGAGGGUGCAAGCGUUGUCCGGAUUCAUUGGGCGUAAAGCGAGUGUAGGCGGUUUGACAAGUCGAAUGUGA
rnacentral:rRNA from 1 species